GGGGGGGGUUGGGGUGGAUUUGGACCCUUAUCCUUACGGCAUUAGCCUGGGCCCCUGGAUUGUCCAGUGACAUGACCACUACGCCACUUUCUUCCCACCUUGUUGAAGUGCGCCCUUCCUCUGUUGGGGUCUGUCUUCUCCCCCUUUUUAACACUGCUCCAAGCACAGUCUCCUCCUGGAUCCUGGAUUGUGCCAGUGGCUUGCUCCUUCCACCCCUUGCAGAAGGUCCAGGGUUUACAGUUGCACACUCGCCUUUUACACUUCAGUAAGAUGCCAUUAACAACCAUGCCACUGUCUGCUUUUUAGGAGCCUGUGUGUAUGUGACGUGGACACCACGAGAACUAUCUAACAGAACCUUAGACGCCAAUGUACAGGAGAAACCUCCUUGGAUUAGAGAGUUCAUUUUUAAACAUAAAGAAAAAUCUUAUCUCGCUAUAUAUGCUCAGAUUUAAUAUAAAGUUUUAUAUAUUAAAAUAUUAUAAUUGUAAAUAUGGAGGUGUUUUUACAUAGUAAUUAUUUAUGUACUUUGCAGCAUAUACGAAGAUUACAGAGGUGACUAAUGCACUUUGUUAAAUGUUGGUAUAUCACCAUCUAGCUAUCCUGAAAGAUGUUAACGUGAAUGUAAACUAGUAAACUCACAUUUUAUCCACUGU